rnacentral:tRNA from 1 species
AAGAAAUUAGUUAAAAUAUAACAUUAUCUUGUCAAGAUAAAAUUAAUAAUUCAUUAUUUCUUU